ACGCGAUCAAGAGGACUCACUAUUUUGAGCGCGGCAUCCACAAAGCUCGAUGGCAAAGAUUCAAGCAAUUGUUGUUUUAGUUGGCAUGCUGUUGGUCGCCACGCUUUUGGUUGACAGAACGGCUUGUUUUGUCACAAACACCAAAAGAGAGGAAAUUAAGAUGGUGCGAAUGACGAGAAAGAUCUGUAAAGUAGCAAGAUCCUUAGACUGUGGGAAGGGAGGCCUGCAGAAGAGAGAACUCGGAGAUCUUGAGGAGAGCACCAUAGAAUGAACAUGCCUGGUUAAAAAGAGUAAAUUAGAUUGUAACAAGUGGCGAUUGAUAAAUGCAUAAGUCGACAGAUAAAAGUAAAUUAAAAUAUGUAAAAUGAA